rnacentral:lncRNA from 1 species
UAAGUCAGUUCUGUGUAUUCAUAUAGAAACGGUGAAAGGCCCAAGCCCAGAUCAUUUUUAGUCUAAGCCCAAUGAAAAACUGGACUACAGAAAGAAAACGGAAAUCUAGCGAUAUUCAAAAACUCGAUUUACGAAAUUGACGAAGGGCAAACCUUUUCUUCAGCUCCGCCGCGGCGCUAUUAUUUCUCUCCUCCGCCGGUAAUUAUAUCAGCCACUCUUCUGGAUGUAACAAAAACAGCAACGGUUUUGAACAAUGUCUUGAAUUUACUUAUAAUUAGUCAUAAGACUCUAUUUUUUGCUCGGGUUUUCUGUGUUUUGAGAAAAAAAGAGAAGGAAAAGGAUGGCGUACGCAGCGAUGAAGCCGACGAAACCGGGGCUGGAGGAGCCACAAGAGCAGAUUCACAAGAUCCGUAUCACGCUCUCUUCCAAAAAACGUGAAGAAUCUUGAAAAAGGUAUUCUUUUGUUUAUAUUAUGAUGGAAUUUGGUUAUAAGUUUUGAUGCCUAUAAUUAACUGGUUUCUAGGUGUACUUGUGUUGCAAUUCCGUUCAGUGACAAUUUAUAUUUCAGGAAAAGUUCAUAUAUCCUUUUCAUUAUUGUUAGAUUUAUUUUUCAACAUUUUCGUAGUUGUUUAAAUGUUCUAUUUUCUAUCCCAUUUACUGGGAGUCACCGGGUACCUAUCUCCGGAUUUUUUUUUCCCUGUUUCGAACUUUUUUUAGUUCCGAUUAAGAGAGACAUGGUGAGUGGGGGAAGAAAAGGAAAAUUAAGUGGUGAUUCAAAACAAGAGAAAGAAAAGGUACUUUAUUUGAUAACAAAAAAUUGGUUAUGCCAUGGAUAUUUAUAUCGUUAGUUCAUUCAAGAAAUCGUCCAUUUGGAAGGUACUCUUCGAAAAUAAAUUUGUUUUUAUCCCUUCAUACUGCAUUUGUUUGUCAGAAUUUGAAUAUUGAAAAUGGUCAGUGCUACAGAUGUCACGAUUUCAUAAAUUAGGGUUCUUUAUUUUGGGAAAUUUAGUUGUAGAAAUAGAAGGGAGAAUUUCUGUGAAUACUUCUGAAUUUCAAGCUCAAUGAACCGGAUUGCAUGUCUAUCUCUCUUGAGAUUAUUUCCAUUUUGACUACUUUGCUGAACUGAGUGAACCUCUCCAUAUUUCUCCCUCUCUGCUCUAUACCUACACAAAUAUGCAUAUGCAUCAGUAUCUAUAUGUUUUGUAUUACAUUUUAAUGAUUGCUUGUGUAAUUAAUAUUGAUGCUACCAAAAAUCGCACAUGUUAUUUCCCGAGCUUUAUGAUUGAGAUUGAUUGAGAACUUGGGCACGUCCCUUAUUCCCAUGGACAUCCCCGUCCGUUCACACCUCGAGAGUGAGGCGGUGCUGACCUACCCACAAGAACCCUCGGAAGUGUAAGGAACAUGUGAUUAUCAAGACUGCUAGGGAGUUCGGGGUCAUGCCCUCUGAGUCCAUUGAGACCGUGCUAGGAGCUUAAGAGGGUGAGAUGACAUGUUUUAGAGAUAUUCUUAAAGCCGGACUUAGGUGGCUUCUUUACCCUUUCUUUAUUCAUUUCCUGACCUCGUAUUAUUUGUGUUCAGGCGGGCCAGUUGGCCCUUAAUGGAUGGAGGCUACUGGUCUACUUUUUCAUUUUAUGUAGAUGUCUCGAGGUCGAGCCUUGACUCGAUCUCUUAAGAAUGUGAUAUGAAAUUCUCCUCGAGGUAUAACUGUUUUGUUUAUUUAUCGACGAAGAGGGUUUUAGGACACUAGAUACCCUGAGCUCACUUAUGGAUUGGAAAUAACGAUUCUUCUUUGUGAAAUCUCAAGACCCUGACCAUCCAUUUAGCCCGAAGUGGGAAAUCCCUAAUAAGGAUAGGUUCAACGAGGGCCAGGCCUACUUCGAGGUUUUAGAGAUGGAUAGGUUAAGGUUAGUGACUCCCCAACGGAAAAGAUUGAUGACCUGCUCGAGGAUGAUACCCUCGACCUUGCGAACGUGAGAGGCCUUGAGUGUAUGAUCUUCACCCCUUUAUGCUUUUCUCUUACCAUUCUUGAACUCUAGAUCGAGCUAAUGCCUUGUGUUUUUAUUUUUUGUAGAUUUGGAGAUGUCUUCUGAUCUAUCAAACUCCUCGCGAACGUCUGCAAUAAGGCCAAAGGCCUAAAGCCUAAGGUCCCUAUCCCGUUCAAGGGAAAGAAAAGGGCUAGGGAGGUCACACCAAGACAAAUCCCGAGUGGUUUAGGACAGACAUCAAAGAGCCCUACCUCGCCAUCGUAGCCCAUCCCCAAGCUGCAAGCUUAGGAUUCGACUCCUCAGGCUGGCUCAAACAUUGUGGAUCAGGAUCACGUCCCCAUGCCCACCAGGUCGUUCGAGGAGUAUGCUGAAUGCUCGUUGAUCCAGAGAGCAUUGUGGACAAGUAUGAGAAGGAGGUUAACCUUCAUGAAAGGGUCCAAACCCUCGAGCUACUCGCUCUGAAGGUAUGAUCUUGAUGUUAACGCUGCUUUCCUAUUUUUCUAUUCUUUUUGGAUUGUUCUGACAUCGGGUAUAAUAUUUACUUUGCAGUCUUUAAGUUAGCUUGAGGCCUGACAUUGAACAUCUUGAGCAAGUUGGAGGAGCUCGAGGCCAAGAAUGAGUGGGCGAGGAAAAGGGUUUUCGAGCUUGAGAGAGAGCGAGAUGAUGCUAGGGCAGAUUUGAGGAGGACCUGAGAUGAGAUCGGGGUGGCUAAGGAUAAGGUCGAAGAAGCUAAGCUCGAGCUCGUACAAGCCAGAAAGGGCUUUGAGGAUGAACUGGCCAGGGCUCUAGCUCAGGCUAUUGAGGACUUCAAGAAGUCGGAGGAGUUCGGGACCCUCCUAGGGCAGUAUGGGUCGAGCUCAUAUCACUACGGCUUGAGGCUUGCUCGAUUAUUUUUGCGGAUGAAGCUCCUCGAUGAUUUGAACCCUAUGUUAGAGGGAUUGAGAACGUUUAGAGCUUGCCAAUUAUCUUGAGCUCUCUGCAUCGGAGGUCGAUGAAGACAAUGAUGACGGAGAUGAUGUUGGGACCCUUGAUUAGAGUGAUGCCGCCAAUGCCAUUGACCUCGAUUAGGUCUUAUCCCUUGAACUUUUGCUUACUAAUUUUUGAAAAAAUUGUAAAGUACAUUGCCCGACCUGGGCUUUUACCUUUUGGAAAUGCUAUUACUAACUUGAUGUUUUGCGUUUAUCAAAUAUUUGCUCAUGCCUCGUCUUCUACGCAUGUUUUUUUAUCCAUUUUGCUCAUGUGUUGUUUUGUGCAUGUAUUAAGGUCGAGAUAUAUAUAUCGUGUAAAGUAGCAAUGUAUUAUGAUCCCAGCUCAAGUGUUAGCAUUGUGUGAUGCGAGCUAUGGAUUUUAUGGGUCCUAGCUCAGACAAUUUUUGACAUUAAAGGUAUAUCUCAAGCAAGC